GACGAACGCUGGCGGCGUGCUUAACACAUGCAAGUCGAACGAUGAAGCCGGAGCUUGCUCCGGUGGAUUAGUGGCGAACGGGUGAGUAACACGUGAGCAAUCUGCCCUUGACUCUGGGAUAACUGCGGGAAACUGUAGCUAAUACCGGAUACGACACCUUGGGGCAUCCCAGGGUGUGGAAAGAAUUUCGGUCAAGGAUGAGCUCGCGGCCUAUCAGCUAGUUGGUGAGGUAAUGGCUCACCAAGGCGACGACGGGUAGCCGGCCUGAGAGGGCGACCGGCCACACUGGGACUGAGACACGGCCCAGACUCCUACGGGAGGCAGCAGUGGGGAAUAUUGCACAAUGGGCGCAAGCCUGAUGCAGCGACGCCGCGUGAGGGAUGAAGGUCUUCGGAUUGUAAACCUCUUUCAGUAGGGACGAAGCGAAAGUGACGGUACCUAAAGAAGAAGCACCGGCUAACUACGUGCCAGCAGCCGCCGCCG
rnacentral:rRNA from 1 species